rnacentral:ncRNA from 1 species
ACUUCAGUGUGGGAGGAAGGAAACAGUGAAUUUGUGAAUUGUGGGGAGAUAGUUCUAUUUGUCUUCUCCUGAUUUCCAGCUCUACAUCUCCCAGUCUGGCUCUUGGAUGGUCACUGGAACAAGCCCUCCAAGGGGGGCCCUGUCUCCAGGGACAGUGGCAAGUGGGGAGUUUGACCGGGGCAGUACACCUGUCGAAGUGUAACACAGGUGUCCUAAGGUGAGCUCAGGGAGGAUGGAAACCUUCCGUGGAGCAGAAGGGCAAAAGCUCACUUAAUCUUGUUUUUCAGUAGAAAUACAGACCUUGAAAGCGAGGCCUCAUGAUCCUUGGUGCUGUGCUGCCUUGGAAAUAGUCAAAG